rnacentral:rRNA from 1 species
UACGUAGGGUGCAAGCGUUGUCCGGAAUUAUUGGGCGUAAAGAGCUCGUAGGCGGUUUGUCGCGUCUGCUGUGAAAACGCGGGGCUCAACUCCGCGCCUGCAGUGGGUACGGGCAGACUAGAGUGCGAGUAGGGGAGACUGGAAUUCCUGGUGUAGCGGUGGAAUGCGCAGAUAUCAGGAGGAACACCGGUGGCGAAGGCGGGUCUCUGGGCUGUAACUGACGCUGAGGAGCGAAAGCGUCGGGUAGCGAACAGG